GGAGGAGGGAGACACGGAGUUGACAAAGCAGAACCUGAGUCACACAUCCAGAUCUGGAAGCCAGAGGGCAAAGGGAGAGAGAGAACUGGAGGCAGAAGAAUGAGAGAGAGGGAGAGAACAGGUGGGGGGGAGAGAGAGAACAGGUGGGGGGGAGAGACAGAACAGGUGGUGGGGGGAGAGAGAGAACAGGUGGGGGGGAGAGAACAGGUGGGGGGGAGAGAGAGCAGGUGGUGGGGGA